AUAAUAUUUCACUACUGGGCGAGAGACUGGAUGAGAACAGGCGGUACGGAAGAUAAGAUUGUGAAUAGAUAGAAUUGUGAAUGUUUAGGUAACGAACAGAAAGAACAUGUCGUAGAAUUAAUUAACAGGAGAGUUUAACUUCAGCAGAACCAGUUUUUAGAGGUUGAAUCUAGAGAAAACAUUCAAGAUGUCUACUCCAACAACGCCUGAUCAGCAAACGCCAAAAAAACUUUCUCAGGAUGAAAUUAUAUCAGACACAAAGGAAGUUAUACAAGGAUUAGACCAGCUAAAAAAUGAACAUAAUAGUAUACUUAACGGUCUCUACCAGUCCUUACGGGCUGUUAAGAAAGACAAUGGAGAAACACAUUUAAUGAUGGAAGAAAAGACAUCAAUUAUUGAGAAAUCAUUAGAGCAAUUAGAACUUGGACUAGGAGAAGCAAAGGUAAUGAUGGCAUUAGGACAUCAUUUAAGUCAAGUUGAAGCAGAGAAACAAAAACUCCGAGCCCAAGUACGUCGACUAGUCCAGGAAAACUCAUGGCUGCGGGACGAACUGGCUUCCACUCAACAGAAACUCCAAGUUAGCGAGCAAUCCGCUGCAGAACUCGAUGAGAAACAUAAACAUUUAGAAUACAUGUAUUCUAUAAAGAAAUACGAUGAAGACCAAUAUCAAGAUCAGGAAGAAAGUUCAUCACCUGAGCAAGUUCAUUUAGAUCUUGGUUUUCCUGAAGAUGAGGAUGACAUUCAACAACCUGAAGAUACUUACCCACAACAGCAGCCAGCCGGUAGUGAUAGCAUCAAUGCAUCAGGAUACGAGAUCCCGGCUCGUCUACGUACGCUACACAAUCUAGUGAUACAGUACGCAUCACAGGGGCGGUACGAGGUGGCUGUACCUCUCUGUAAACAAGCUCUGGAGGAUCUAGAGAAGACAUCUGGUCACGAUCAUCCGGAUGUGGCUACUAUGCUGAAUAUAUUAGCCCUUGUUUAUAGGGAUCAGAAUAAAUACAAAGAGGCUGGCAACUUGUUACAUGAUGCUCUAGCAAUUAGGGAAAAAACUCUAGGCAAUGACCAUCCAGCGGUUGCUGCAACACUCAAUAACCUUGCGGUUCUGUACGGUAAACGAGGCAAGUACAGGGAAGCUGAGCCUCUCUGUAAGAGAGCCCUCGAAAUCAGAGAAAAGGUUCUUGGCAGGGACCAUCCUGAUGUCGCUAAGCAACUCAAUAACCUGGCUUUAUUGUGUCAGAACCAAGGGAAAUAUGAAGAGGUUGAAUGGUACUACCAACGGGCAUUGGAGAUAUACCAAAACAGGCUAGGCCCUGAUGACCCAAAUGUUGCAAAGACGAAGAACAACCUAGCGUCUGCCUAUCUGAAACAAGGCAAAUAUAAGGCAGCUGAAACCUUGUAUAAGCAAGUCCUAACCAGGGCUCACGAGAGAGAAUAUGGAGUAGAUGAUAAGCCUAUAUGGAUGCAGGCUGAAGAACGUGAAGAAAGGGGAAAACAUAAAGACAAUGCCCCCUAUGGAGAAUAUGGUGGCUGGCACAAGGCAGCUAAGGUAGACAGUCCAACUGUGACCACAACUCUGAAAAACCUGGGGGCGCUCUACCGUCGACAAGGUAAAUAUGAAGCAGCAGAGAUUUUGGAAGACUGUGCCGUAAGGUCAAGGAAAAACCACAUGUUACAAGUCCCUAUGGCUCUGGAUGUUGUGAGACAAACCAAAGUUGCCGAACUGCUUGGUACCGAAAUCUCUCAGGAUGUCCCGAAAGAAGUUGCCCAGAGAGAAUUAAAGCGAGAUCAUCGGAGCGGGAGCCGUACCAGCGUGGCGUCCAGUCGGCGCGAGAGCAUGGGUAGCACAGGUAGCGUUGCUUAUGAAAAGCAUGGUGAGAGUGGUCUAGAAGAAGUGAGUAUUGGCAUGAAAUGGAAGCAGAAUGGUGACGGUAAAUUGAAGCGUAGCGGUUCCUUUUCAAAGCUCAGAGCGUCAAUACGUAGAAGCAGUGCUCGGCUCGUCAACAAAUUGAAAGGCCGAGAAUUCGAAGACGAAGCAGGGUCUGAUAUAUUUGGGGAAAUCGUGGACAUGGUCAAGUCGGGGUGAGUGUGUUGUGUGAGGGCGCCUGUUAGACAAUGAAAAGAGCUAGUUCCAUGUCUGUGCUGAAUACAAAAAUGAAUGGUGAUGGUACACCUCCACCGCGCCAGCUUAGUCAAAGAGGACGCGUCGGCAGCCACGAUACUCUAACA
rnacentral:misc_RNA from 1 species